GAAAAAUGUUGUGUGAGCUCAGCAGGUUUGAUUUUAAUUGAAAUAGUUAAUAUUUGAUUAAGAUACUUCUGACCACUCAAACUUUCCAAAGUGAUUAGAUACUGAAAAGUCAGUGUUAAAUAUUCCUUUGAAAGGGAGUGAAUGCAGCAUUGUCACCUUAUUGCAAGCUUUCAGCUUAGUGCAGUUUAUUUUAUGAUUUAAACAUUUAGCAUGCUUAAAUUAUAAAAUUAAUCAUACCAUUAACCUUAAAAUACGGUGGUCUAAGAGCAGGUUUCUGAAUACAUGUAACAGAUAAAUGGUCAAGUUGCAUUGCUGUUUCCCAAAUGGAAUAAUGUAAAUGCAGAUAAAAUGUUAUAUAAAGACAUUAAAAAACAACAACAACAAAACACCUUAAUCUUUUACGUGUGUUCUCAGUUUUGUUGUUCUUAACAGGAGCAAAGGAUUAGUAUGAAGAUGAGCUGACGUGGUGGCCUAAGAUUACAUCACCUCAGCAGGAUUUCUUUUGCUUGCUAAUUGCCAGCAGUGAAAAUGUACGGAGCCAAAUUGAUGAGGAAGAAAAGGUUUUAAAACCAAAGUGGCUAAAAGAAUUCCAGCCAUUGCAAGGUGGGAGUACAAAAGGUUUUGGUUUUUAUUUUAUUUUUUAUUUUUUAAUUUAUUUAUUACAAUAAGGAAAAGGUCUACUAAUUCUACUGAUGAUAAUUUAGCAUCUCAGGAAAUAUUUCUGCAGAUUCUUACAGUUCUAGUUCUCCCCUCUGGGGCUCUUUAAAUAGGCACAAGAUAGACAAACAAAAUAAACAUGGCAACUGAAACUUCUAGAUUCAUGUUAAAUAGUACAUAUUUGCUAUUUUUUCCAGCUCUGAAUCACACUUGAGUGAUUGGCUUGAGUAGAAUGGCAUGCAGUCCCCCUUGGUGGGGAUAAAGAUGGACACAUAUUCUAAAGCUACAGAUCCAUCAAGACAAUCACUUACUGGUUCUCCAGGGACAACUGUCUUAUCCCGUAGUUUUUGGAUAUUGAAAGGGAUAGAUAUUGUUCCCACACACUGCAGAAUCAUGCUGGUCAAGAGGGAGCCUAAAAAAGAAGAUUGCUAGAACCAAUUCUGGUAAGAAAAUUUCUGAUGUCUAAGACUAAUUGUAGAGAAAAUAGUAUUUUUAA
rnacentral:lncRNA from 1 species